CGGGGCGUGGCGCAGUUCGGUAGCGCACCUGCUUUGGGAGCAGGGGGUCGCCGGUUCAAAUCCGGCCGCCCCGACCA
rnacentral:tRNA from 2 species